UACCUCAUCCAUGGAGCCAAACUUUUCUCCAUUUCUUUAGCCUCAAUGUUAAUACUUCAAUGGCAGAAAACUGCUUCUUCAAUUCUCGUCAGAUAUCUCUUGUGCUGUGGGUUUCUCUUCACCAGCUGCAGACUGUCCGUUUUCAGGUGUUUCUGUAGUUUCUUGUGCAGUGACUUCUUCAUCCUCUGCAGCUUUAUUCUCCUUGUUGCUCUCUUCUUCGCCUCCACUCUUCUCCUCAGCGCUUUCAGUAUCAUGUACCUCCUCUAAAGCCACUGGUGCAGGUAUUAUAUGUCCAUUCUGAGGCUGUGCGGGUAUGUUACACGGAUAUGCACCUGCUACCGGCGACAACGGGUACCCAUUCUGCGUUAUUUCCGUCCCAUUUGGUGAUACAAGAUAGCCGUUUGGUGACACUGGAUAUCCGUUAGAAACCCAUGGUUGACUCGGUAUGAACUCCGCGGCAUGAGGGUUCAUUAUUCUUGGCCCAAUGAAUUGCUUAGCCUCGCCAUUAGACUCGGGGCUAAUGGGGAAGCUUGGUUUGUUACGAGGAACCCUGUUUCCAGAUCGGUUGAAGCCACCACCUGAGAGCCUCGGCCCAUAGGGAACUCGAGCUGUUACAGACUGAUGAGGAGUUGACCUGCGGACAUGGUUUACAGGAAGCAUUGGUGGAAUAUUGACUGGGGAGGGAAGGAUUCCCACAUGGUCAUUGAAUCCUGGAACUGUAAUCGACCCAAAAAUUGGAAUGGUCGUUGGGGUAUAGGGUGGUGCAGAAGCAGAGAGCUUCUUGCUCGUCUCUUUUUGCGCCUCCAAUGCCUCUUGCUUUUCUCCAUCUGCAACUACUGAUGACUUUGGACUUAAGUCUCCAUUAGGCAGAGCUUCAGUUUCACCAUCUACUGCUUUAGCAGUAGCAUCAGACACAUCCUUCUGUUGCUUCAGUUCUGUUACUGGUCCACUUCCAUUUGAAUCUUUUGCUGUUUGUACACUUUCAGAUAUUCCUUGACUUGCAUCUGAAACCCCCGUCUUUGUUGGAGAUCCUUCUUCUCCUGCCUUUUCAGCCUUGAUAUCCUCUUGUGAACUCAUGAACUUUGAUCCACCAACCGCAGCUCCUCCUUGUUCAUUGCCAUCAGCAUUUUUCGUUUCCGUUUCGGUAGCCUCAUGCUUACUCUCACUCUCAUCCUCCUCAGCCUUAACUUUUUCAGGACCAUCUACUUUUGCCGCGUCCAAAGUCUCUGGGACAGUCGUUUCUUCUGUCAACUGCUCCGCAACUAUUUUCACAAUUGUUCCAGGGGGUGCCAGUGCAACCUCCUUAUAGGAAAACAGUUUUCCAGCUUGGACAGUCACAGGGCUCACCAUAGAAAUCGGCUUGUUGAUCUGUUCGGUGGCUGAUUUAUUGCUAACUGGCUUUUCUCCCACUAUAUUGGAACUGUUUUUCUUUUUAUUCAAACUCGGGCUCUUCAAAGCCUUCUUGGCGUGCUGGGAAGUAGAACCAGCAGCAGAUAUUGAAAUCUCAUUUGGGCUAGUCCUUGGGGACGCGAAAUUGGUGGGUUUUCCUCUGCUUUUUGAUGUCUGCUGGUUCGCGUUCGUGAAGUUUGUGUUCAGCUUUGCCAGGCUGGGACGGGUUCUACGCCCAGAAGGAUAGCGAUUUUUCGGGACAGCUUCUUGCCAUCCUUCGUCAGAGGAGUCCUCCUCUUGGGCUGUGGACUCUGCCUUAACCAGCGUCACCUGAUCUCGAGGUUCCAUAACACGUUCAUCAACCUUUGUUUCUUCAGGUUUUGCUUCGGACUUAAUGUCUUUAUCACUUGAACUCUCCACAGUGAUAGGAGUCGGAGUCAGAAUUUCAUCAUCUUUCUGAUUUUCUUCCAACACAGAUGUUGGACUUAGUCCUGGUCUUCCCUUGACCUGAAUAAACAUUUCGAUGAAAAUAUCUGUCACACAACUUAUUAGUGAGAGCAGUUCAAUAGAAACAUGGAUUAAGCCAGCGGAAAUCAAAUAUGACCUUCAUGCGAGCUUUCCUUUGGGCGUCCCUUGUUUUGAGAUCAGUCUCCGGGGUUAUAUAAUCCAGCAGGUCUGAUACACUGUUAUUUGGACGAAAGUUCAUGGGUUACAUACUCAGGACAAGAGUUUACACAAGCUAUAAAUUUAUACUAUGCAUUUUAGAUUUCAUAUAUAGUAGUCCGUUUCUACUUAAAAUACCUGAGAUGGCCUUUGCUGGAAAUAGAGGCGUCUGGCUUGGGAGUACCAUUUCGUGCAGCUUCUUGUUGUUCCAGAGCUUUAGACUCAAAAUACUCAAGCCACGCAGCCGCAUCCUAACAUAGUUCUGGAAUGUAAGAAACUUAGAGACAUACUUCAAAGCUAACUCUGUGUGCUGAAGACGAUAAUAGAAGACGGCCAGGUCGCCGUAGCUUUUCAUUGUGUCUGGAUGAUCAAGUCCAAGUUCCCUUUCAUUUAUGUCGAGUGCUUUUUGCUGAUAAAUAGUAGCCUGAAUAAUGAAAACUGGUUAGAUGAUUUGAGCUAUGCCUUGGAGACUGUCUCGAGUUCUUUCAAAGUGUAUACCUGGUUAAAGUCCCCAGUAUGGUACAGGACAACAGCAAGAAGACUAUAUGCUCCGGCAGUCAUUCUAUGAUAUGGGCCGCACACUGCUACAAGCUUCGCCAAUGCCUAUAAAGUCGUCCCAGAAUAUCAACUAUUUUAUACAGUUCGAACAAAAAAGAAACUAUUCAAUGACAAAAAGUGUCGGAAAAAGCUGGAGUGUUGAUUCUUUCAGUGCAAAAGCAUCCUUGCCCGUGAAAACAGAACUCGUUAAUUCAAACUUACAUGGUGCUAAAAAUGCCUAUUCAGUAAGUCUACGCUAGUUCUGAAAAAAAGUUGAUGAGGAUAAAAGAAGAGAAGAAAAAUGUUCAAUUGCUUCCAGUUCAGAGAAGAAAGGUUAUAUAAUGAGUGGCGGUAGUGGGAAGAGGGCAGGCAAAGAAGGGAGCAGCGUAGUCAGACUAGUGAAGAGCUUCAUGACAUGUUAGUAUAAGAAGGAGUGAGAAAGUUAUCGUUAUACCUUGGUACCAUAACUGACAGCAUCCUCCAGUUUGCCUUUAUCUAAGGAAGUUUUGGAUGAUUCCAAUAAAGUGCGUCCAUCGGCGGAUGAACAUGCUACGUGCUGCACACAAAAGCAGUGCUCUUUAGCCACUUAAGAAUUUUACCUUUUAUGGCCUAUUACUAGACAAAGAGAGUUACGCAUGGUACCUUAUAUACAGGAACCAUACUAAUGAUAUCUAACUUCUUAAAUGGACUUGACGUGUCCAUCUCAUAAUCCUUAGGAACAAGCUCCAGUCCAACCUAAACCGAUGAGUGAAGUAACAUAUGAGAAUCAAAGGUUAGAUUGUCCACUACCUCCUGGACUUGUUUCAUGGCUACCGUGGCCUCUUUCCUUAUGGCUCUCGCGUUAGGAAACACAGACUUACAUUCUUGGGAGCUUGAUUCCUCACUGAAGCUCUCAUGCUGCAUAUACUCUGGACUCCAGUUGGCUGUGCUUUUCUUCCUACAAGCUUGGUGCGUGUCGCGGAAAGGACCUCUUUUCUCUGCACUCUUCAACCCUCUUUCUACGGUCAUUGUCACUUUCUUUGGUGCUUUGUAUUUAAAAGAGAAGACGUACCUCGGAAGGUACAACAUAUAUAGGUCUCUUUUCUUACUGCCUUCUCUCAUUUCACAACUUGAACUGUUUUGUCCGUUUUUUUUUCCAGCUUGCUGGGGGCUUUGGCUAUCAUCCUUGGACUCUACAUUGUUCUAUGGGGAAAAUCAGAGGACUAUCAAGAAGAAGCAACAGACCUGAAGUUGCAAGAUGAACAUACCAAUCUCUCCCAACUUUUGAUUGGUGAUAAGGCGUUUCGUAGUUCAGAGCUGUUAGAACCUCUUCUCAUGUAAAUUCUAUAACAAGGCAGUUUCUAGAUGACAAUGAUAAAAACCCACAAAAUGAAAUGGAACUUCUUUUUACAACUUUCACACGUACCAACAGAUUUAGAAGCUACUCCCACGCACAAAAGCAAGUGCUUGCAUAUUGAAAGAGAGAAAAUACAUUGAAAUGCAAUGUAUUCCGAGAAGUGAGCCAAAACAAGAAAGAGGAAGAAGGCGAAGAAGUUGAGAAUUCUGAGCAGUUUGUUGCUACACUGAAUCUUUGCUUGCUCUUUACGGAAGAGGACAGUCUUUACGUUAAUACGUUAAUCAAGUUAACUAGUAAUUACUCUCGAGUAAUUGUCUGAAGGAAAAGCUUUUGCAAAUCACACGCGAGUGACAAAAUUAACUUGAGAAUUAUUCCUAGGUCCAAGUUUCUGAGCUCUCUGAAAAUCAUUUAUUAAUUAAUUUUGUCAAAACAUAUAAGAAAACAAAAGAAAAGUGUUUAUCCAAGAGGCUCUUCAAGAAGUUGAAUACAGUAUGUUUUUAGUUUUCAGCUAUGGAAACCAAAAGCUGAAAUCAUGAGUAAACUGGAGGGACGAGUCUUGGUUCUGUGCUGCAACACAAACCAUUCAAAAGUAGAAAUGAUUUCCUCGACUUUCAUUGGAACUACCGAUGAUUGUGUAACUCAACCUCAUCCAUGGAGCCAAACUUUUCUCCAUUUCUUUAGCCUCAAUGUUAAUACUUCAAUGGCAGAAAACUGCUUCUUCAAUUCUCGUCAGAUAUCUCUUGUGCUGUGGGUUUCUCUUCACCAGCUGCAGACUGUCCGUUUUCAGGUGUUUCUGUAGUUUCUUGUGCAGUGACUUCUUCAUCCUCUGCAGCUUUAUUCUCCUUGUUGCUCUCUUCUUCGCCUCCACUCUUCUCCUCAGCGCUUUCAGUAUCAUGUACCUCCUCUAAAGCCACUGGUGCAGGUAUUAUAUGUCCAUUCUGAGGCUGUGCGGGUAUGUUACACGGAUAUGCACCUGCUACCGGCGACAACGGGUACCCAUUCUGCGUUAUUUCCGUCCCAUUUGGUGAUACAAGAUAGCCGUUUGGUGACACUGGAUAUCCGUUAGAAACC
rnacentral:lncRNA from 1 species